CGAGGCGAACCGGGGAAACUGAAACAUCUUAGUACCCCGAGGAAAAGAAAUCAGCCGAGAUUUCCCCAGUAGCGGCGAGCGAACAGGGAGCAGCCCAGAGUCAACAUCAAUAUAUACCGCAGGAGAAAGAUCUGGAAAGGCCGGCAAUAAAGGGUGAUAGCCCCGUAUCUGAAGCGGUAAGUGUUGUGAACUCGAAGAGUAAGGCGGGACACGUGUUAUCCUGUCUGAAUAUGGGGGGACCAUCCUCCAAGGCUAAAUACUCCUGACUGACCGAUAGUGAACCAGUACCGUGAGGGAAAGGCGAAAAGAACCCCGGCGAGGGGAGUGAAAUAGAACCUGAAACCGUGUACGUACAAGCAGUAGGAGCACCCGAAAAGGUGUGACUGCGUACCUUUUGUAUAAUGGGUCAGCGACUUAUAUUCUGUAGCAAGGUUAACCGCAUAGGGGAGCCGUAGGGAAACCGAGUCUUAACUGGGCGUUAAGUUGCAGGGUAUAGACCCGAAACCCGGUGAUCUAGCCAUGAGCAGGUUGAAG
rnacentral:rRNA from 1 species